UACGUAGGGCGCAAGCGUUAUCCGGAAUUAUUGGGCGUAAAGAGCUCGUAGGCGGUUUGUCGCGUCUGCCGUGAAAGUCCGGGGCUCAACUCCGGAUCUGCGGUGGGUAAGGGCAGACUAGAGUGAUGUAGGGGAGACUGGAAUUCCUGGUGUAGCGGUGAAAUGCGCAGAUAUCAGGAGGAACACCGAUGGCGAAGGCAGGUCUCUGGGCAUUAACUGACGCUGAGGAGCGAAAGCGUGGGGAGCGAACAGG
rnacentral:rRNA from 1 species